CAAGGUAUGAGGUAUCGUCCGGAGCAGU
rnacentral:sRNA from 1 species